rnacentral:antisense_RNA from 2 species
CUUGAUGGUGGCUGUGCACAGGGCGCUCUCGGGCGCGCCGGUCUUGCCAAUUCCUCCGGUCGACUAACCUGCGUACAGCCGCCACCCUU